AAUAAUCACUUCACUCACUCGCUUUCUCUCAACUGUUUAAUCGGGUAAUCACUCAAUCAACACAAACCAAACUAUUCUACCAUAGGCUUGCAAGAAUUCUAACAAUCAAUCGAUAAGCAAAUUAAAUACACACUUUUGAGGUCUUAAAGGCCAUAAUGUGGCUUAGGUAAGGGUGGAGGUUUUUGGGAAGUGAGUUAAAAACUUGGAGUUAAGGACAUACCCAAUUUCACAAAAUUUUCAAGAAACACACUAGAGAACAACUUAUUUCCACAUUAUCUUUCAAUCUCAACACAUAAAAACAUCAGACCAUCACAAACUAUUUUUCGUUCUUUUCAUUAUUUCCUCUUCAUCUUUUUUGAAGAAGUCACUUUUUUUUUUCUUUUCAAAAUUACAAACAUUUGGCUUCUUGAUUUUUCAACAUUUUUC
rnacentral:lncRNA from 1 species